AGGGCGUACGGUGAAUGCCUUGGUGCCAACAGGCGAAGAAGGACGCGGCAAGCUGCGAAAAACCUCGGGAAGCUGCAAGCAAGCGAUGAUCCGGGGGUAUCCGAAUGGGGUAACCUGAUCGAGGCAAUACUCGAUCGUUCAUACCUGAAUACAUAGGGUAUGAAACGCGAAACCCGCUGAAGUGAAACAUCUCAGUAAGCGGAGGAAAAGAAAGAGAAAUCGAUUCCGUAAGUAGUGGCGAGCGAAAGCGGAUGGAGCCCAAACCGAAGGUACUCCUUCGGGGUUGUAGGACCACGACAUAUUCGACCAUACUGGAUAGUAGAACAGCCUGGAAAGGCUGGCCAUAGAAGGUGAAAGCCCUGUAGACGAAAUCCAGAGUGGGAAUUAGUGGAAUCCUGAGUAAUACAUCACACGUGGAACGAUGUAUGAAUCCGCGCGGACCACCGCGCAAGGCUAAAUACUAGUUGGCGACCGAUAGUGAACAAGUACCGCGAGGGAAAGGUGAAAAGAACCGCUGUGAGCGGAGUGAAAUAGAACCUGAAACCGUAUGUCUACAAAGUGUCAGAGCAGAGCGAUCUGCGAUGGCGUGCCUUUUGUUUAAUGAGUCUGCGAGUCAGUGUUUGUGGCAAGACUAAGGGCUUCCGGCCCGGAGUCGCAGCGAAAGCAAGUCCGAAUAGGGCGAAUCAAGUCGCAGGUACUGGACCCGAAGCGGAGGUGACCUACCCUUGGCCAGGUUGAAGCAUGGGUAAAACCAUGUGGAGGACCGAACAGGUGAACGUUGAAAAGUUCUCUGAUGAGCUGAGGGUAGGAGUGAAAGGCUAAUCAAACCCCGUGAUAGCUGGUUCUCUUCGAAAUGCAUUUAGGUGCAGCGUCACGUGCUGAUGCGCGGGGGUAGAGCACUGACAAGGCUAGGGGGCACACCCGCUUACCAAACCUUAUCAAACUCCGAAUACCGUGCAAUGGAACGUGGCAGUGAGACAGUGGGGGAUAAGCUUCAUUGUCGAGAGGGAAACAACCCAGACCAGCAGCUAAGGUGCCUAAAUAACGCUCAGUGGAAAGGAUGUGGGAUUACACAGACAGUGAGGAUGUUGGCUUAGAAGCAGCCACCAUUUAAAAAAUGCGUAAUAGCUUACUCAUCGAGUGAUCCUGCGCCGAAAAUGAUUGGCGAUCAAGCGUUAUACCGAAGCUCUGGACUUUGCCGCAAGGCAGAGUGGUAGAAGAGCGUUGCAUGCGCAUUGAAGGGUGAUGGCGACUGACCCUGGAGCGCAUGCAAGUGAGUAUGCAGACAUGAGUAACGUAAAGCCGGGUGAAAUCCCCGGCCGCCGUAAACCCGAGGUUUCCAGGGCAACGUGUUUCGUCCCUGGGUUAGCCGGGACCUAAGCCGAGGCCGAGAGGCGUAGGCGAUGGACAUCAGGUUAAUAAUCCUGAGCUCGCGACCCUUAAACUGGGGGGACGCAUGAGAAAAGAUGACUAGGUUAUUGAAUUCCGAGUUGAGUCCACGGACUCAGCGCAUCAUUGGAUCGAGUGCCAAGAAAAGCCCCAGCGUAUGCUAAGCGACCCGUACCGCAAACCGACACAGGUGGGUGGGUAGAAUAUACCAAGGCGUAAGAGUGAAACCUGGUUAAGGAACUCGGCAAAUUAGCCCCGUAACUUCGGAAGAAGGGGUGCCUGCAGCGAUGCAGGCCGCAGAGAAAUGGCCCAACCGACUGUUUAUCAAAAACACAGCACUCUGCAAAGACGCAAGUCGAAGUAUAGGGUGUGACACGUGACCAAUGCCGAAAGAUUAAGGCAAGGGGUUAGCCGCAAGGCGAAGCUCUAAACCCAAGUCCCGGUGAAUGUCGGCCGUAACUAUAACGGUCCUAAGGUAGCGAAAUUCCUUGUCGGGUAAGUUCCGACCUGCACGAAUCGUGAAACGAGUUGGGCACUGUCUCAACCAGGCGCUCAGUGAAAUUGUAGUGGCGGUGAAGAUGCCGCCUACCCGCAGAAGGACGGAAAGACCCUAUAGACCUUAACUGUAAGCUGUCAUUGUUUCUUCGGUUUUAAUGCUCAGAGUAAGUGGGAGACGCUGAAGAUGCCCUUUAGGGGGCAUCCGAGUCAUCAAUGAGACACCACCCUUUGAAACUGGAGGAUCUAACCCUGAGCCGUGAAUCCGGCCAGAGGACCGUGUCAGCCGGUCAGUUUGACUGGGGCGGUAUCCUCCCAAAGA
rnacentral:rRNA from 1 species